rnacentral:rRNA from 1 species
UAGGGAAUCUUCCGCAGUGGGCGAAAGCCUGACGGAGCAACGCCGCGUGAGUGAUGAAGGUCUUCGGAUCGUAAAACUCUGUUAUUAGGGAAGAACAAAUGUGUAAGUAACUAUGCACGUCUUGACGGUACCUACUCAGAAAGCCACGGCUAACUACGUGCCAGCAGCCGCGGUAAUACGGAGGUGGCACGCGUUAUCCGGAAUUAUUGGGCGUAAAGCGCGCGUAGGCGGUUUUUUAAGUCUGAUGUGAAAGCCCACGGCUCAACCGGGGAGGGUCAUUGGAAACUGGAAAACUUGAGUGCAGAAGAGGAAAGUGGAAUUCCAUGUGUAGCGGUGAAAUGCGCAGAGAUAUGGAGGAACACCAGUGGCGAAGGCGACUUGCUGGGCUGUAACUGACGCUGAUGGGCGAAAGCGUGGGGAGCAAACAGG